rnacentral:rRNA from 1 species
ACAAGGAUUCCCCUAGUAACGGCGAGCGAAGCGGGAACAGCUCGAGCCUGAAAUCCCUGGCAGGUACUGCCAGAGAAUUGUGGCCGGGAGAGGCGGUGGUGCCCCUACUGUUGCUGUCAAAGUUGACCUGGAAAGGCAUGUCAGAGAGGGUGAGAGCCCCGUGCUUGACACCGACGGGAAGGGCCGUAAUCGUCUUCGGAGAGUCGGGUUGUUUGGGAAUGCAGCCCAAAGUGGGUGGUAAACUCCAUCUAAAGCUAAAUACUGGCACGAGACCGAUAGCGAACAAUUACCAUGAGGGAAAGGUGAAAAGUACUUUGAAAAGAGAGUCAAAAAGACC